GGGGGCGUAGCUCAGAUGGUAGAGUGUUCAGUUACCACGCGAAAGAUACGGGGAUCGAUACCCCGCGCAUCCA